CUCCUCUAGUGGUUGUCUAUGUGAGGACCUCCAGCGUCGCUGAAAUCCCCAUAGGAAAGCAUUGAAAGCAUUAUUCAAUGCUUUCCUAUGGGGAGGUCUAAUGCGUAUUAGGUCUCCCCCGCUGCCGGCCGCGCAUGCUCAAUAGGUCUCCCCUGCUGGAUUAUGUGGGCGGACCCUCACCCAGCGCCAAGGGACAUCGGCGCUGGAUACAGGGAGGGAGAGGGACCUGCAUUGCCAGGAAAACGGUUUGUUUAAGAACAGUUUGACAACUUACCUGGGAUCUGCUAGGAUAGGGGCAGUGAGGGGUGAAGUUUGUGUGUGUGUGCACGAUUUGUGUGAAUGAGACAGUGUGUGUGAAUUGGGGGUUGGUGUGUAGGGUGGUAUUGUGUGUUUGGGAGGGGCUGAUUAAAACAAAAAGGUUAUUUAAAAAAAAUUAAAAUAUAUAUGCUUUGUCCCCCCUCCCUUCUUACUUUUGCCCAGGGAGUGGGGGGGAUAUCGAUUGUGAAGCCCUAGUGGUCCGGUG